CUGAGGAGUGCUUCUUACGGAUGAGCAAAGAAAGUGGUUUCUUGAGAAGGAAUCUACUCCUGGUGAAGAUGCUGUGAAGAUUGUGGAAAUGACAACAAAGCAUUUAGAAUAUUACAUAAACUUAGUAGAUAAAGUGGUGGCAGGGUUUGAAAGGAUUGACUUCAAUUUUGAAAGAAGUCCUACUCUGGGUAAAAUGCUAUCAAACGGCAAAAUCAUUCGUGAAAGGAAGAUUCAGUCUUGUCUUAUUUUUAGAAAUGGCCAUGGCCACCCCAGCCUUCAGCAUCCACGACCCUGAUCAGUCAGCAGCCAUCAGCAUGGAGGCAAAACCCUCUACCAGGAAAAACUACAACUUGUUGAAGGCUCAGAUGAUGGUUAGCAUUUUUUAGCAAUAAAGUAUUUUUAAAUUAAGGUAUGUAAAUUUUUUAGACACAAUGCUAUUGCAUACUCAGUAGACCACAGUAUAGUUUAAACAUAACUUUUAUAUGCCCUGGGAAACCAAAAAAUCCAUGUGACUCACUUUGUGAUAUUCUGCUUUAUUGCAGUGGUCUGGAAUUGAACCUGCAGUAUCUCCAAGUCUCACCAGAUGACAACAUUUAGAAGUCUGACAAUUCCGAAUACAGAUGAAGGCACGGAACAACAGGGAUCUUCAUACACUGCCCUGGGAAGUGUGAAGUGGAAUAACUACUUUGGAGACUUGUUAGUUGAAGAGUGAAGACGUUGGAGAGGUUCCCCCCCGGCGAGCAGCCGCAGAUCAGGAUGGCCAGUGCCUCGACGUUGUUCAGC